rnacentral:rRNA from 1 species
CGAAAGCCUGACGGAGCGACGCCGCGUGAGGGACGAAGGCCUCUGGGCUGUAAACCUCUUUUCUCAAGGAAGAAGAUAUGACGGUACUUGAGGAAUAAGCCACGGCUAAUUCCGUGCCAGCAGCCGCGGUAAUACGGGAGUGGCAAGCGUUAUCCGGAAUUAUUGGGCGUAAAGCGUCCGCAGGCGGCCUUUCAAGUCUGCUGUUAAAGCGUGGAGCUUAACUCCAUCAUGGCAGUGGAAACUGAUCGGCUUGAGUAUGGUAGGGGCAGAGGGAAUUCCCGGUGUAGCGGUGAAAUGCGUAGAUAUCGGGAAGAACACCAGUGGCGAAGGCGCUCUGCUGGGCCAUUACUGACGCUCAUGGACGAAAGCCAGGGGAGCGAAAG